GUUGCCUACGGGACGCAGCAGUGGGGGAUAUUGCACAAUGGGGGAAACCUUGAUGCAGCGACGCCGCGUGGGUGAAGAAGCGCCUCGGCGCAUAAAGCCCUGUCAGCAGGGAAGAAAAUGACGGUACCUGAAGAAGAAGCCCCGGCUAACUACGUGCCAGCAGCCGCGGUAAUACGUAGGGGGCAAGCGUUAUCCGGAUUUACUGGGUGUAAAGGGGGCGCAGACGGCGAUGCAAGCCAGGAGUGAAAGCCCGGGGCCCAACCCCGGGACUGCUCUUGGAACUGCGUGGCUAGAGUGCAGGAGGG
rnacentral:rRNA from 1 species